rnacentral:rRNA from 1 species
CCUACGGGAGGCAGCAGUGGGGAAUAUUGCACAAUGGGCGGAAGCCUGAUGCAGCAACGCCGCGUGAGGGAUGACGGCCUUCGGGUUGUAAACCUCUUUUAGCAGGGAAGAAGCGAAAGUGACGGUACCUGCAGAAGAAGCGCCGGCUAACUACGUG